rnacentral:rRNA from 1 species
AGAGUUUGAUCCUGGCUCAGGAUGAACGCUAGCGACAGGCUUAACACAUGCAAGUCGAGGGGCAGCGAGGGAGUGGCAACACUUCCGUCGGCGACCGGCGCACGGGUGAGUAACGCGUAUGCAACCUGCCCUUCACAGGGGGAUAACCGGGAGAAAUUCCGACUAAUACCGCAUACGUCCUCCGGGGGCAUCCCCGGGGGAUGAAAGAAUUAUCGGUGAAGGAUGGGCAUGCGUGAUAUUAGGUAGUUGGCGGGGCAACGGCCCACCAAGCCCACGAUAUCUAGGGGUUCUGAGAGGAAGGUCCCCCACAUUGGUACUGAGACACGGACCAAACUCCUACGGGAGGCAGCAGUGAGGAAUAUUGGUCAAUGGACGAGAGUCUGAACCAGCCAAGUCGCGUGAAGGAAGACGGAUCUAUGGUUUGUAAACUUCUUUAGUGCGGGAACAAAGCGGUGUCGUGACGCCGGAUGAGUGUACCGCAAGAAUAAGCAUCGGCUAACUCCGUGCCAGCAGCCGCGGUAAUACGGAGGAUGCGAGCGUUAUCCGGAUUUAUUGGGUUUAAAGGGAGCGCAGGCUGCGGGGCAAGUCAGCGGUCAAAUGUCGGGGCUCAACCCCGGCCUGCCGUUGAAACUGUUUUGCUAGAGUUCGAGUGAGGUAUGCGGAAUGCGUUGUGUAGCGGUGAAAUGCAUAGAUAUGACGCAGAACUCCGAUUGCGAAGGCAGCAUACCAACUCGCGACUGACGCUGAGGCUCGAAAGCGUGGGUAUCGAACAGGAUUAGAUACCCUGGUAGUCCACGCAGUAAACGAUGAAUACUAACUGUUCGGAGGGCGACCUCUGAGUGGUAAAGCGAAAGCGUUAAGUAUUCCACCUGGGGAGUACGCCGGCAACGGUGAAACUCAAAGGAAUUGACGGGGGCCCGCACAAGCGGAGGAACAUGUGGUUUAAUUCGAUGAUACGCGAGGAACCUUACCCGGGCUCAAACGUCGGGCGAAUCAUCCUGAAAGGGGUGAGCCAGCAAUGGCGGCC